UUUUCCCUCUUUUUUUAGCAUUUCACCCUAUAAUGAUUAGUGCACUGGGGUGUGUUUGGUAAGUAGAAUUUGCCAGGAUUGGAUGGGAUUCUAUUCCAGUCUGAUGGUCGGUUUUACAAUUUGAGAUGGAACAACUUAUCCUAAAUAGUAUUUUAAUCCCAAUUGAAUGGGACUCAUCAGACCCGUCUCCCCCCUCCCCCCUACGGGGGUCAAUUUUGUCCCAAACUCAAACGAAGCUUAGCUCACUCUUGCUGGUGUUCUCUCCCCGAAGCAAAUCCUUGGAUCGUGUCAACAAUUGAAGGAGCUCUCUUUCCCGGUGAAUGAUCGUUUCUCUCGCCGGACGUUUGCAUCUCUCCAACAAACAAACACGGCUGGUGAGUAUGCUUCUUACUCUACCCUCCAUCUCUGCAUCUCUGUAUCUGUUCCAGCCUUUUCUUGACCUUCUUCUCCUUCUUUCUUCCAUCUCGUGACCUUUCUUCUCCUUCUAUUUGAAAUGAAAGCUGAUCUUACUCGAUCUUGAAAAUUUAGGGCUUCAAUUUGCAAGGACCCCAAAUUUCCAUCACUUCUUAAAUCCCUACCAGAUUUGCAAGGACCCAACCCUCUUCAUAUCGGGAUUUUUUGCUUAUUUAUUUCUUUUUGGAAUUUUGACCAUUGGGACUUGUAAUUUAGAUCCUUUUCUCAAAUGAAUUUCUUUAAACUCGGGAAUAGAUUCAACUUUUCAUUUUAAUUUGAAAUUUCAAGUCUGUUUCUCAGUUGGGUUGUGUUCAAUCUCUGCUUCCCCUUCACUCAGCGGUAUCUUAUGCUUGGAUCCCCUCUUGCCUCGGUAUCGAUUCCAGGAGCUCAAGGUCAUUGUCUCAGGGUAUGCUCUGCUGUGCAAACCCACGAGUUUGAUAUCUCCAAUGUUUUGUAUUUGGUAUCUGUAAGCAACUUUUCUCUAUAAUUGUUUGAUAUUUGAAUAAAAAAUUCUUAUGAUGAUUCACUGAAAUUAGUGUCCUUUUUAUGUUGGUUCAUAUUGAUAAGUAAAAGUUUUCCAUUGCAGAGCAUCAAUCUGACUCUUGUGUGCUUGUUGGGUUGCUAAUUGCCCUAUAUCUUUUACUUUCAUGAUGCUUUUUUCUCUAAGUCCAACUUCUUGUCUGCAAAGAAAGCUAAAUAAGAGCUUGGAAUAGAUAUUUAGUCUAUAUUGUUCUUGUUAAAUUUGAGAUACUUAGCAGCUCUAGAACUAAGGGACCUCCUGAAAACAAUGAUUUAAUCCAGUGGUCAAGAUACAUUAUGUUAGGAUUUGUAGUUCUGAUUCUUAUAUAUAUGAAGUAAUAGUGCAGAAAGUUUUGAAAAAUAAAUUCUAACCGUUAGCAAUUGGCUCAUCAUAGUAUGGAGAGAAAAUGUGCUUCUGGUAACUUAUGCACUAAAAACUGCUUAAUUGCACAUUUUCGAAGGAGGUUUUUUUCAUCUAAGUUGCAGGACUAAAAGCCACAUAUUUGUUGAAGGAGAUUUAUGACAUUCUUGCCUUCUGUGCUAGUUCUAUGGUGCUAUAAUCGCAACAUCAUUCUUAUGAUUCUAGAAUGAUAAAACUUCAGUUCCAAAUCAAAUGGAGAAAAUGUCGCCAUGACUUUGAUUUGUAGCUAUUCCAUUGUUUGUGUGCUUUUGAAGGAUUACAAGCCCCCAAGCCAUGAUUUUUAAGUGGUUGGUGAGAUUAUGGGCUUGGAUUAAAAUGGGAAAGCUGUAUGUUCUGGUUGUAAUUUGUUAGCAUUUACCAAUACUUCAGUUGAAAAGGUUGAGGGGGAAAAAAAAAAGAAACGAAAAAAGAAUUGGAUAUGAGAGGGAUGGGACCCAACCCCAUGAUGAAAUGCAUGCCAUUCUUGGAGGACCCAUUAAUGAGGAGGAAUGAAAGCAUAUUUGACCAUCUUUACUUUCGGUUGUGCCACGAUAAAAGAUAUUGAAGUCAAGAAGAAUAUAAAGUUUGAUAUCUCAGAGAGUUCACUGCCCAUACACGUGCUAACUGGAACAAUGGGUGACACAAUAGUUUUAUAUUAGGCUUUAUAUUUGUAUUCCUAUCAAUGAUUGUAUUUACGCAUUUGUUAUAUAAGAAAAUUAUCCUUGUAAAAUCUAAUAUAUACAUAUGUAUGCGGAUAAGUAUGUGAAAUCUUUGUUAUCAACAAGUUCUUAAUUAAAUAUAAUAUUAACUUUUUUUA